UGUUGGUACCAUAUAUUGGGCCUCGUAUAUUUGGGCCUUGGGCCUUGUAUUUGGGCCUCACACUAAAGCCCAUACUUUGUAAAAGAGGAGGAGCCCCUUAUUCUAUAAAAGGGGACUCCUCCCCUCAUUCUAAAGGAGGCAAAAGAGCCAAGCCUAAGAAGGCUAAGAGAAGCUAUCAUUACAUUCAGGAGAGACCUCACACCACCGAGGCUCUCCUCUCCCUUCUCUUCUUUCUCCUCCGGGGGACUUCCCCCAAACACUUGUAUCCAUACAAUUACAGAGAAACAGAAUCAACUACAGUGUGGACGUAGCCCAAACAUUGGGGUGAACCACGAUACAUCUUGUGUCAUUUACAUUUCAUGCAGAUUCACGGUCGGAUUUACGUUGUUCCAAGACCUCCGGUUUUGUGCAUCAACAUUUGGCGCCGUCUGUGGGAAACGACACGAAAAGUUAUGUCGGUUCUUUUUCAAUUUUUCAUUUCCACCUUGAAUCUGCAAAAACCCAGAAACAGAAAACAUCCAAAUUCCAACACCUGCUCUUACACCUCCCUCUCUGUUCUUGUAAAAGUAACAUCAAAAUUACAAAAAGCUCAUGCGAAAACACCUCAUUUUCUCUCUUUCUCCUCCAAGACAAAGGGCUGUCGAAGAUCCCAACGC
rnacentral:lncRNA from 1 species